CCUUCCCUAUUUCUCUCUCUCUCCCUCUGUCUCUCCUCUCCCUCCCUACUUUAUCCCUCUCUCCUUCCUCCCUAUUUCUGCUCACUGCAACACGUCCUUCCCUUGUUCCCUCCCUAAUUUAGCCCUCUUCUCUGUAUCCUGUUCUACUGUCUUCUCUUACUUCAAUUUGAAAACAUCAAAGGGCCCUUAUGACCACCAGGUGUGACGUUGGUGUGAGGCCAGAUGUACGAUGGAUAAUUCAGCCCGCCAGUUGUUCCAGUCCACUUGGCGAGCUGGGAAUCCGAUCCAUCCAUCAUACGUCUAGGGUUUUCAUUGGCUGGUAAUGGACGUUCAGAAUCACACCUGGUGGUAAAAUAGAGGCCGUUUAAUGAUGGACGUCCAGACCACACAGGAGCGGCGUCUGUGAGGUCAUCCUUCAGCGGCGAUGGCAGACGCCUGCUACGUUGGUGUAGCAGCCGGCUGAUGGAUUGGACUGCCGCCCGGAGAGAGCGCCUUCGGAGAACACGCUGGUGCGUCGCGGUCUCCGGGCCGUAUGGGCCUCUGCCAGACGUCUGUACGCCUGGUCAUUGGUUGACGUUGUUCUAGUGGUAAUAGGUCAAGGGGAGCAUAAAGGUGUGCCAAACCAGGAGAAGGAGUGCCCGGUGCUUGCGCAUACCAUCAUUGACGACAACGAAACCAGAAACACCAACACUUAGAACCACUUAGAACCACAGUUUAUCGUACUUUUUACUGCUUGAUUGUUCAACACAAUAAAUCAUC